rnacentral:lncRNA from 1 species
CAACUAAUAUAAAGUAAUUAGGAGCAGUAUAGUCACUUCUCACAACUAAUAAUGUGUCCAAAAUUUUCUAAAUGAACACUUAUUUUGGGACGGAAUUAGUGCUAGGACAUUAAGCAGGGAAAACAUCAUCGUUUGAGGGAGCAAGGGGGCCUGCGCUCCCCCAGCUGACUACGCCUCACCGAGUUUGCACUUAAGAGAGAGAGCUUCAUCGAAAGCUCCAAACCACUUCAGCAAUCAUGUCAAUUAUUAAUCCACAUAGAGUAAGGCACACCAAAUUGACCUCUAUAUCUUGUAAUUGGCCAAAAUAGGCUGAAAUCUAAGCUUUUGGUAAUCAAAUCUCACAUAACUCAUCCCGUAGCACAUACGAUUUUUAUUUUCUAUCACAGACUAAAGAGAUUUGCUCUGACUUGUCUACAUUGUAGGGAGUUUUGUUGCCCUGAUGGAUAGGAUCCUCUGGAUCACCAAUUUUUCUAAAUGGCAAGGGCAAUAGUACUUUCUUUUAGCAAAAUCUAAUGCAAGAGUUUAUAUUUAUUGCAUAACACAAUUGGGAGCAUAGGGGCCAUGGCCCCUACGUGUCCCCACCGGCUCCGCCAUUACCUCCAGUGCUAUGUAAACUUGUUGUAUACACAACAAGGUGUUGGCGAUAGUUAGCUGCCAAUUCCAAUUCAUGAACUGCAAGUGCACGGAUUAAUUGUAACUUCUCCUUUAGUAUUCCCCUCAAGAUUUCUUAAUCCGUGGAACAAAUGGAAUGAUGGCUCUCACUUUAUAUUAAUCUUACUAACGAAAUCAAGAAAUAAUAUGAGUUGUGUAGAGAGACAAACUAAUCUAAACUAAACAAAAAGUAAAGGUUGAUACAAGAUAGAUAACAAAGAUAGAUAUGCCUUCCCUCUAUAGGAUCUAGGUUCACAUGAAUAUGCAUCUACUACACAAAAGGAUGCUACCUUCACUAGCUAUCACAGAGAUUAUGUGCUCACUCGUCCCUUUCCCUCCUGCAUAUUGUCACUAUGUAGGGAUAAUC